rnacentral:rRNA from 1 species
UGGGGAAUUUUGGACAAUGGGGGAAACCCUGAUCCAGCCACCCCGCGUGUGCGAUGAAGGCCUUCGGGUUGUAAAGCACUUUUGGCAGGAAAGAAACGUCGCGGGUUAAUACCCCGCGAAACUGACGGUACCUGCAGAAUAAGCACCGGCUAACUACGUGCCAGCAGCCGCGGUAAUACGUAGGGUGCAAGCGUUAAUCGGAAUUACUGGGCGUAAAGCGUGCGCAGGCGGUUCGGAAAGAAAGAUGUGAAAUCCCAGAGCUUAACUUUGGAACUGCAUUUUUAACUACCGGGCUAGAGUGUGUCAGAGGGAGGUGGAAUUCCGCGUGUAGCAGUGAAAUGCGUAGAUAUGCGGAGGAACACCGAUGGCGAAGGCAGCCUCCUGGGAUAACACUGACGCUCAUGCACGAAAGCGUGGGGAGCAAACAGGAUUAGAUACCCUGGUAGUCCACGCCCUAAACGAUGUCAACUAGCUGUUGGGGCCUUCGGGCCUUGGUAGCGCAGCUAACGCGUGAAGUUGACCGCCUGGGGGAGUACGGUCGCAAGAUUAAAACUUAAAUGAAUUGACGGGGGUCAUAGCUGUUUCCU